rnacentral:RNase_P_RNA from 1 species
UAGAUGGUCGCUGCAAAAUUUAUUUUGUAGAGGAAAGUCCAUGCUCGCAUAAGCUGAGAUGCUUAUAGUGUUUGUGCUAAAGGAAAAAAUAACUUUAGGCUGGAAACAGACGGCGAGGUCAAUCCUAAAGCUUACUAUGGAAAGAUCUUGUAAAGUGCCACAGAGACGAGUUUGCUGGAAACAGUAAAAUGAAACGCGGUAAACCCCUCAAGCGAGAAACUCAAAUUUGGUAGAGGAACUAUAGAAGAAGAAAUGAAUUCUAAUAUAGAUGUUAAAAACAUAGAUAAAUGACCAUCCUCGAAAGAGACAGAACAUGGCUUAUU